UACGUAGGGUGCAAGCGUUGUCCGGAAUUAUUGGGCGUAAAGAGCUCGUAGGCGGUUUGUCGCGUCUGCUGUGAAAACGCGAGGCUCAACCUCGAGCCUGCAGUGGGUACGGGCAGACUAGAGUGCGGUAGGGGAGAUUGGAAUUCCUGGUGUAGCGGUGGAAUGCGCAGAUAUCAGGAGGAACACCGAUGGCGAAGGCAGAUCUCUGGGCCGUAACUGACGCUGAGGAGCGAAAGCGUGGGGAGCGAACAGG
rnacentral:rRNA from 1 species